UUGGAAGGAACAUGACCCAUUGUGUCUCUUGUUUUCUAAUAAGAUCUUCUUGAGAAACAAUAUGAAAAAUGUGUAUCAUCUAAACUUUAUAAAGUGAACAAUGUGAAAGAGAAACAAAAGGGUAGCAGUUCCAUAAUUUUAGUAGAAAAUUGGAGGAUGUUGUAAGACAAACAAUAAAAUCAAAUGUUCCAAAAGUGCACAAAUAUGGUGUGUAGAAAAGUGGACACACACCUAAAAAAAACUUGUAAAAACAAGCACCAUGAUCGUAGUACUAAAAAUUCAAAUCACUCCAUACAUGCUAAGGUUUGGUGUCCCCGAUCAUAAUGGGACAAGAGCGCGUACAAGGUUCUUUUACAAAAAUGACCGUGUGCAUGCUUCUUUAGCACUUAGCACCACGUACGUGCUACUUCAACACUUAGCACCGUGUACACGUUACUUUAUGACUUAUCACUGCAUACAUGGUACCUGUCAAUAAUUUUUUUUAGUAGACUGAGUUUUAAUUUUCACGCGGUCGCGAGUUUGAAAUUGGGGUUCUUUUCCACUAAACCGCGCAUGGGCUCACUCAUUUCUCACCCAAACACCGUGGAUCAAGGUUGGUUUUUCUUUAUUUUUAUUUUUCUUUCACAUUUGUUCUAUUUUUUUAACAUUUUGAAUUUAAAUUUGUUUAUUUUGAUUAGGUUUUUUAAUUCUUUUGUUACACAAACUAGAUUCUCAAAAUCCACAACAAGAACAACAAGAUGCACCUCUUGAAAACCCCAAACAAAACCCACAAAAUAUACCUCUAGCUCCUCCUUUUGGCCGUACACCUGAUACACAGGAGGGAUUGCUUAAUCAGUUAGGGAAAAGCACAACUAAAAUAAAUAGACUAAUUAAUAAAUUGAAAACAUCUGAGCUUGAGCAUCAUAAAUCCCUUGCCACUAGCCUAGAAAUAUUAGUUAGUGGUGCCACUACAGUUUCUACUCAAAUUACAAAAUGGGGAAACUAUAUGGACAUGUGUUGUCAAUUUUAUGCUAGUGGGUUCUCAUAUGAGGGAGUGAAAAAUAAAAACAUUAGUAAACAACAAAUAUGUGCCCUUUUCAUUGAUCCUAAAACUGGCCAGUCAUUACCUCUUAAUGCAAAGAGGUUUACCAUACAUUGGUGUACCAAUGUACAGAUGAAGAAUCUUUUUUGGAAGAGGUGGUGGAUGGUCUUUGAUGAACCACCUUGUAAUAAUUUUGAGGUGCCAUUGUAUUUUUUGAGGAAAGUAUACUAUGAGUUUGUCCUUAAUGUGCUACCUAAUUAUUUUGACAUGAGAGAGUUUCAUGGUAGAGGUGGCAGCUUUGCCUAAAAUAGACCUGAAGCCUGUAGGCGAGUAGCCCAAGAGAGUCGUCACCCCCUAGCACCCAAACCCAAGGUGCAUUUGAAUGUCCUGGUAGACCUGAAAGAGUCGACGGAGCUACAGACUCUUCACAUGACCACACAAUUGACUAAUGUGAUCAUCCAACAUGGGACACAAUUAACACACCUUCUUUUUUUGUAUGAUGAGCCAUUAGUUGUUGCUAGUGAGCCCAUUCAGCAUGUGUGUGCCACUUGCUCAGGGAUAUGCAUAGGGACAAAUGAUGAGGCCAUUGCAGAUGGAUCCACAUCCCAUUCAUGCAUGAUUUGUAGGAGUAGGUGUUAGACCUGCACGACUGGGGAUGUGGCACUGACGAAUGAGUUAAUUGACAUAUUGUUCGAUAGUCAUCCACAAACACAGGUGUGUUGAUUUGAAUUCAUAGCAUUUUAUUUAUCAGUCCCUUAAAAUUUAUAAUUGUAAAUGAAUUUUUAUUUAUAGAUCAAAUUUAAAUUGAUACAAAUAAUAUGCAUUUGAGGAUGCAACAAUGAUAUAUGAUAUUCCUCCUAUAGUUACUGCAGUGGCAACUUUGAUGUCUUAGGUAUAAAUUUUGUAACAUGUUAAAAUAGAAUAGUACACUUAGAAUUCAAAAAAAUUACAAAAUAUACUAGCUCUCUUUAAUGCUUGACAAUUUUUUGUUUGUAGGUGUUGUUAGGGGACCAAAUGUCCUAGAUUGAUGAUGUCAUGCUCUCGGCCAUCGAUUUUGGCCUACAAGGCUAUAUAGUAUCAUAUUUUGUACAUCUUAUUUUAUGCACUCUUUUGAUGGAAUAUUCAAGUCAUUUCAUUUUAGAUUUGUUAAAUUAUGUUUAAUAUCAUCUGUAUUAAUAUCUCAAAUUAAUUUUGUUUUUUUAGGGUACCCCCCAUGUCGAGGCCUCGUCCUCAACAAAUGAAAUAUGGUAGGAUGCCAAAAUGUGGGAAGAAGGUAAUUGAACACAUUUUUAAUUGUACAAUUGUUUGAAAAGGUUGAAAUUGUCUUAGUUGGGAUUUGUAGAUUGAUUAAUUUUUUUUGUCUGUUUUAUAUGUACAACGCCCAUUGAGAUAUGUAGAUAUGUUGAAUGCACCUAAUACACCCAAGGAUCAAGUGAGGGUGGAGAUAUGUAUCUCUACUUUAUUUUCUUGAUUUUAUGAAUAUACGCACAUGUACACAUGUGAACUUGUGAUAAAUUAUAAUCUUAUCAUUUUUUCAUACAUGAAAUAUCCAUAGUUGCUUCAUCAAUGAUGAGCCCUUCUUUGUGUACUAGAGAAGCAUCUCAGGCUUUGGUACACUUUUGUUUGAUAUUGACAAUUUUUUAUUUGUAGGCGUUGUUAGGGGACCAAAUGUCCUAGAUUGAUGAUGUCAUGCUCUCGGCCAUCGAUUUUGGCCUGCAAGGCUAUACGGGUACCCCCCCAUGUCUAGGCCUUGUCCUCAACAAAUGAAAUAUGUUAGGAUGCCAAAAUGUGGGAAGAAGAUAUGUUGAAUGCACCUAAUACACCCGAGGAUCAAGUGAGGGCAGAGAUAUGUAUCUCUACUUUAUUUUGUUGAUUUUAUGAUUAUAUGCACGUGUACACAUGUGAACUUGUGAUAAAUUAUAAUCUUAUCAUUUUUUCAUACAGGAAAUAUCCAUAGCUGUUUCAUCAAUGACGAGCCCUUCUCCGUGUACUGGAGAAGUAUCUUAGGCUCUGGUACAAUUUUGUUUGAUAUUGAAAAUUUUUUGUUUGGAAGCAUUGGUAGAGGACCAAAUAUCCCAGUUUGAUGAUGUCAUGCUCUCGGCCAUCGAUUUUAGCCUACAAGGCUAUAUGGGUACCCCCCCAUGUCUAGGCCUUGUCCUCAACAAAUGAAAUACGGUAGGAUGAAAAAAUGUGGGAAGAAGGAAAUAUCCAUAGCCGCUUCAUCAAUGAUGAGGCCUUCUCUGUGUACUGGAGAAGCAUCUCAAGCUCUGGAAAUAGUGACAAUUUCUCCAUCAAUGCCCCCCUUCACGGUUCGGCCAUAGCUUGGAGCCUUUGAAGUUUGUGUAUGAGAAAACUCCUAAGACUGACAAGGAGAAGAGAACGAAGAUAUUAGAUCUGAGAUCAGUCGAUGAGCCAUCUACAGAGCCACGUACUUCAUCGAAGAGACUCGAUUUUGAAUAUCCACCACAUGUAUAGGAUCAUAUAGUAUUAGUUGUGGUCAUUGAACGACCAAUACAUGUAGAUAUAUUCUACUUUUUUAUUGUAUAUUGAUUUGGACAUGGCAUAAGCCACAUUUUUGUAAUACUUAUAAUGACUUGGCAUACAUGUCUUUUU